AAUGCCAGUCUCAGAGAACAAUAUCCAACCUUGUAUAACAUUGCUCACGAUAAGAAUAAUACUAUUGCGCACGUGCUCAGUUCUUCCCUGCUGAAUAUUUCGUUCAGGCACGAUUUGAUUGGCCCCCAACUUGUGUCAUGGCAUAAUCUUUUAUUCCGGUUGGACUCGAUUAACCUGACACAAGGACGGGAUGUGUUUCGUUGGAACCUUACAACAUCAGCCUCUUUCACAGUAGACUCUACGUACCAUGCACUCACGCACUCUGAGGUACCAGUGAGUAAUAACAAGAAAACUUGGAAGUCUAAGAGUCCACUAAAAGUGAAAAUCUUCAUGUGGUAUCUUUGUAGGGGAAUUGUGUUAACUAAAGACAACCUCGCAUGA
rnacentral:rRNA from 1 species